GACGAACGCUGGCGGCGUGCUUAACACAUGCAAGUCGAACGAAGUGGCGAACGGGUGAGUAACGCGUAAUCAACCUGCCCUUCAGAGGGGGACAACAGUUGGAAAUGAAUGCUAAUACCGCAUACGGAAGGAGGGGAUUGAGUCGGAUUAGCUCGUUGGAGGGGUAACGGCCCACAAAGGCGGUGAUCAGUAGCCGGUCUGAGAGGAUGAACGGCCAAAUUGGGACUGGUGCACGGCCCAGACUCCUACGGGAGGCAGCAGGGGGGAAUCUUCCGCAAUGGACGAAAGUCUGACGGAGCAACGCCGCGUGAGUGAUGACGGCCUUCGGGUUGUAAAGCUCUGUUAAUCGGGACGCGGUACCGGAAUAGAAAGCCACGGCUAACUACGUGCCAGCAGCCGCGGUAAUAC
rnacentral:rRNA from 1 species